UCCGGUUUGACACCGGCAGUCUCCCUAGAGUGCCCGGCUUUACCCGCUGGUAACUAGGGACGAGGGUUGCGCUCGUUGCGGGACUUAACCCAACAUCUCACGACACGAGCUGACGACAGCCAUGCAGCACCUGUGCACGGACUCCGAAGAGGGGCCGAUGUUUCCACCGGCUUUCCCGUGCAUGUCAAGCCUUGGUAAGGUUCUUCGCGUUGCAUCGAAUUAAUCCGCAUGCUCCGCCGCUUGUGCGGGUCCCCGUCAAUUCCUUUGAGUUUUAGCCUUGCGGCCGUACUCCCCAGGCGGAAUGCUUAAAGCGUUAGCGACGGCACCCGGGGACUAUAAAACCCCAGACACCAAGCAUUCAUCGUUUAAGGCUAGGACUA
rnacentral:misc_RNA from 1 species